GAGGCCUUUUGAACUCUUCCGGCCACCGUCGCCGGGUCCUUUCCGCGACUUCGGCUUCUGCGCCUGCGCAGUGCUGGACCGCCGUCCAUUUUUGUAUCAGUUAGGAAGGACGUUAGGUUUGAGGUUGGUGUUGAGUUUUACCUAUCAAGGAGAAUAACUACCAUGACUUCCAGUGCUUUGACGAAACCUCAGAUGCGAGGCCUUCUGGCCAAGCGUCUGCGAUUUCAUAUUGUUGGAGCGUUCAUUGUAUCCCUGGGGGCUGCAGCUUUUUAUAAGUUUGCUGUGGCCGAACCAAGAAAGAAGGCGUAUGCAGAUUUCUACAGAAAUUAUGAUUCCAUGAAAGAUUUUGAGGAGAUGAAGAAGGCUGGUAUCUUUCAGAGUGCAAAGUGAUUUUGGAUUGUAAAGAAUUUCUUUGGGUUGAGUUCCACUGAAGUUUGUCACUGACCUGUGUUCCUGAACUAUGAAACACGAAUAUUGGGUUAUGGAAUAGUUUGUCUUGAUAAAUAAACAGCUAACAAAUACUUUGGACAGUAA